UCUGUUUUUUUUUUCAGGCUUUCCAUGGAUAAGGUGAUAGCUUUAAGGGUAUAUGAUAUUUUGAUGUUUGGAUGGUUUUCAUGAGGAAAUCGAUGAUAUGUGUUUCACUUGAAGUUAAUCGCGGAAAGGCUUUCCGAAGAAGAGGUUCACAAUCUUAGAGAAGCCUUCAAGAUUGUAGACAAUGAGAAGAGCGAGAGAGUUACUUAUAAAGCGUUCUUGGAAGAUUCGACACCAAUCUUGACAACUUGGAUAUCAACAGACUGCCACAAUGCUUGGAUCCCUAGCUAUAACAGUAUGUACAUAUGGGAAAUUGAAUUUGGAGUUUGAGGUUUGAAUGAUAGGUGUCUGCAUUCAGCUUGGCUUUGAGGACCAAUCAGACACUGUCACGCUUUUGUGUAAUUUCUUCAUCAAGAUGUCACACUGUCACACAUAUAUCAAACUAAACAUUAAACUUGGUGGAGACUUGAUGGGUGUAGACAAGCUCCUCCUAGACUCUAAGGUUGUUCCAUUCUUCGAUGAGGGAGAGAAAGCUGUGUGUUUAAUGGCAGCGACUCAGUCUCAUUUAUUGGUGAACAUCUCUCACUGUCUCUCCUCCGGACGGUUGUUUAUCAGUCUCCUCUAUACCCUAAUGCUUGGUCUGCUCCUUUCCUCUUCUUUGCUGAUUGUCUAUUCUCACUUCAUACGAGGUUGUUUCUGAGUUUUAGAGGUGUUUGUAAAAUUUAGUUUCAUUGGAUACCCAAUUGUGUAGUUUGCCCAUAUGGUAUGCUCUCAACUCUCUUCAUAAUUCUCAAUAAAAACACAAUGAUGGUUGAAGAGAAGUAGCCUUUCAUCUUAUGUUCUUUUAGAAUGCAGUAAAGAUCUGAUAGUUUUCAGUGAAUUUUCUUUAUUGCUAUUGUUUUUCUUUUCUUUAGUUUUGUUGUUAUCUUUUAGAUUGGAAAGAGAGCUUGGUCAUUCUUUUCGUGCUGCUUUCUAUUUACUGAUGUUCACUUUAUGCUAGGAAUUGGCUGAGCCAUCUAUAAAAAGUGCCUUCGGUUUGUGAGUGCAACAAGGGAUGAGACGUGUAGUUAAUUAACCAAUUUUUUUCUUUUUACUGGAAGACAUUGGCAUUAGGUAUUACAUUAUUGUUAAAUCCAGUUUGUAUGUUUUUAAAGCUUUUGGUUAGUGUACUCACGUUGGAUCUUUUGAGGACUGUACACUAAUGACCAGUUGGGAUUAUAGCAGCUCUUAUUUGAUUAAGGACAUUGAGGACGGAUUAGUAUUACAAAAAUAAAUGUCUCUUUAGACAAGUGAUUUUGUUCUGACUAGGGUCAUACUAAUGCAAUAUUCUCAUUGUAGAAUAAUGGACCAGAUUGAAGAUUUUAGUCAGAACAGAAAGAGAGAUGGAGGAUACUUUAAUGCUGAUGGGAACUUUGUAUAAUAUGUUAGCAUUGGGCCUUUUAUAUUUGUUUUUGUUCAUGCUUCACCUCAUAUUUGUUGAUGGCUUUACUCUGGGUUUAUUUCAACAAGUUGAGGAUGAAAUGAAUAAAUGUUUCCUUUUUUGACAAAAGUAUAAAUCUUUACUUUAAAGA